UACGUAGGGGGCGAGCGUUACCCGGAUUCACUGGGCGUAAAGGGGGCGUAGGUGGCCGUGUAAGUCCGGUGUGAAAAGCCACGGCUCAACCGUGGACCUGCGCUGGAAACUACAUGGCUUGAGGACGGUAGAGGGAGACGGAACUGCUGGUGUAGGGGUGAAAUCCGUAGAUAUCAGGAGGAACGCCGGUGGAGAAGUCGGUCUCCUGGGCCGUUCCUGACGCUGAGGCCCGAAAGCUAGGGGAGCAAACCGG
rnacentral:rRNA from 1 species